GGCGNUCAGGAAAGUCUGGAGUAAAAGGCUAUGGCUCAACCAUAGUGUGCUCUGGAAACUNUCUGACUUGAGUGCAGAAGGGGAGAGUGGAAUUCCAUGUGUAGCGGUGAAAUGCGUAGAUAUAUGGAGGANCACCAGUGGCGAAAGCGGCUCUCUGGUCUGUCACUGACGCUGAGGCUCGAAAGCGUGGGUAGCGAACAGGAUUAGAUACCCUGGUAGUNCACGCCGUAAACGAUGAGUGCUAGGUGUUAGGCCCUUUCCGGGGCUUAGUGCCGGAGCUAACGCAAUAAGCACUCCGCCUGGGGAGUACGACCGCAAGGUUGAAACUCAAAGGAAUUGACGGGGGCCCGCACAAGCGGUGGAGCAUGUGGUUUAAUUCGAAGCAACGCGAAGAACCUUACCAGGUCUUGACAUCCCGAUGCUAUUCUUAGAGAUAGGAAGUUACUUCGGUACAUCGGAGACAGGUGGUGCAUGGUUGUCGUCAGCUCGUGUCGUGAGAUGUUGGGUUAAGUCCCGCAACGAGCGCAACCCUUAUUGUUAGUUGCCAUCAUUAAGUUGGGCACUCUAGCGAGACUGCCGGUAAUAAACCGGAGGAAGGUGGGGAUGACGUCAAAUCAUCAUGCCCCUUAUGACCUGGGCUACACACGUGCUACAAUGGUCGGUACAACGAGUUGCGAGCCGGUGACGGCAAGCUAAUCUCUGAAAGCCGAUCUCAGUUCGGAUUGGAGGCUGCAACUCGCCUCCAUGAAGUCGGAAUCGCUAGUAAUCGCGGAUCAGCACGCCGCGGUGAAUACGUUCCCGGGCCUUGUACACACCGCCCGUCACACCACGAGAGUUUGUAACACCCGAAGUCGGUGAGGUAACCUUUUAGGGGCCAGCCGC
rnacentral:rRNA from 1 species